rnacentral:lncRNA from 1 species
AUGUCUCUUCUCUGCCCCUGCAUCUGGGACACUUGGUCCACGCAUAGCCUGAUACUGCCAGAGAAUCCAGAGGUGCUGGUGUCAUUCAAGCUAAGAACAGCGGAUCCAAGAAACAGCGGGACAUCCUGCUUAAGAUCUCCAUGGGCAAAAGAAGGAUGCGCUCUCUGUACCUGCGAGCAGCUUGUACAGUAUGCUCAGAAGAAACACGAUAAUAGCCAACAGAUGGCCUCUUCCUGGCACUUUCUUAUCAAGAGCCUUUGA